AAAUCACAGUUAUUUAAAGACGUUCAUUUAAACCUUUUUUUAAAACAGUUUAAACCAUGGAGACACUAGUAGUUGGAUGUCUAAUUUCUGCUGUUGUCGUUUUUAUCCUGGACAGGUUUUAUUUUAAGAAACAAUCAUAUCUGAAAUGGGUGGCGUUGGGAUUUGUAGCAGCAGCAGGUAAAAUAAUUAAAAUUUGAAAUAUAUCGGCUGCCUUUAUCAAUACCUUGCUUCAAAUAUUUCAACUGUUUUAAAGACCAAUUAACGACAGGGGAAAAUAGAGUAUUUUAAUUUUAGUUUCUUGUGUACAAUUUGGAAAUUAGUAUGGCGUUCAUUAUCACUGGAUAGUAAUAUUUGUUAGGGGCCGCUGAGGGACGCCUCCGGGUGCGGGAAUUUCUCGCUACAUUGAAGACCUGUUGGUGACCCUCUGCUGUUGUUUUGUCUAUGGUCGGGUUGUUGUCUCUUUGACACAUUCCCCAUUUCCAUUCUCAAUUUUAUUUAUAGACGAUUUGUGUCUACAUUAUCGACACGAGUUUCAAUUCCGUGUAUUAUAAUGGGUACGAGUUCUACAUAAUGUUUUGCCUAAUAUGUUUCGAAGAGCUUCUAACUGUUUAUUUAUCAGAAUGUUAAAAAAAUCCUAUAUUAUGUGUAAUGACAAUUGAAGUAAGUUACACUCUACACAUUUUGUAAAAUAUUUCUUUUGUACCUAAAUGAUCAAAAUGUUUCAUUUAUGUACCGUCAUUUCCUAAUGUGAUAUUCCUACUUAAUGUUGGUCAUGUUCCUUUCAUAUCAAUUUGAGAUAAGAUUUCAAUGUCCCCUUUUAGUAGAUAAUCAACGAUUGUUAUGUUAUUAAAGAGAGAAAGCAAUGCUGAACUUAAUACGUCUCCAAGAACGUACUUACUGUAUGUUUCAUCUUAUUUGAAAAUUCGCAUUAAAGCUAAAUAUUAUUAAACUAUUAAAUUCUCCAGUCUACAUCUAACCAAGAAAGAUAAAAAAAAAAAAGCUACAUUGCGAUUCGUAAAUGACGACUGGAGAGGGAGAAGUUACACUAUAAUGUGACCAGGAUUAGGUUUGAAAAUAUUUGAAUAAUCUCUUAUAUGUCAUUUUUAUUGAAAAGAUAUAUUACCUUUAAUUGUUUCUUUUGUUCGAAAUUUAAAAGUUCAAUAAACUUAAUUUUCUAGGAAUCUGAGUCAUACUUAAAUCAUAUUUUAAAAGAACACGAUCUGUCUGUUAUUCAAUUAAAUACCUAACAUAUUUGCUGACAUGACUCAAUUUUUGAUAUAUUCCUCAUGUGAUAUGAAUGAUGAUUGUUUAGCAGAAAGGAAAAAAUGAGACCAGGAAAACAUUUUCCUCCUUUGAUUAUCAAUACUAGGUCGUGAAAUAAUAUAGCAAAUUAUUCUGGCUCUCAUUAUUUUUUAUUUGCCCUGUCUAUAUGCCCUUUUGUUCCUCUUUGUUGAUAUAUUUAUUAUUUUGUUAUGUGAUUGAGACUAUAACACAGUACUGGCUUCUGUAAUGUACCUCUAUUUUUUUUUUAUAUUUUUACAUCUUACAAAUGUAACGUUUGUUUGAUUCACACAUUGUUGACAAUAUGAUGGAGUUUCAUAUGAUUGUUAUACAAUGCGAUGGUUAAGGUAGCUAUUAAACCAGGUGUAAUCCACCAUUUGUACACAAAAGAAAUAUCGGUAUCAAGUGUCAGUAAUAUGACAGAUGACAGAUGUUUUCCAUUUGAUCGUUUGAUGUGUUUGAGCUUUUUUUAUUUUGCCAUUAGUAAUAGGAAUUUCCUAUUUUAAUUUUCUUUGAAGUUCCGUAUUUUGUUAUUGUACUUUUAAAGAAUUAUGAACAACUAGAAACAUGGAGACAUCCCUUGUAUUUCAAUAACAAACAAAAAACAAGCUGCUUCUAUUGUUUAUACACUUUACUCCUAUUCUCCUACGUUUUUAUUUAGAUAUAGAUAAAGAUAAAUAAACAUAUAAGUACAUUUGCCCGAAGUAAAUAUUUUCGCAUGUGAUGAUAUAAAAACGAAGAUUUGGUAUGAUUGCCAAUGAGACACUCCCCCACAAGACAACAAAUGAAACAGACAUUAACAACUAUACGUCACCGUACAUCCUACAACAAUAAAGAAAGCCCAUACGGCAUAGUCAGCUAUCAAUGGCCCCGAAAAGAUAAAUGUAAAACGAAUCAAACGAGAAAACUAACGGCCUAGUUCAUGUAAAAAAAAUGAACAAAAAACAAAUAUGUAACACAUCAAAAAACGAAAACCACUGAAUUACAUGCUCCUGACUGUGGCAGAAUGUUGCGGGGUUAAACAUGUUAGCGGGAUACCGACCUUCUCCAUAAUCUUAGACAGUGGUGUAACAGUACAUCAUAAGGAUGAGUCUAUUUUAAAAAUUAUAGCUAGAGAUUCAAUUAAGUUGGUUUUGUUCACAAUUGUCCAAAGAACGUAAGCAACAAUAAAUAUAAAAAGAGGAUAAGGCUUUAUAUGCUUUGGUUUAGCAAAACAACAAUUUUAUACAAACAAAAAAAUUUAGCAAACACAAAAUAGGUUGAACAUUAAUGCAUAUCAAAAUAUGACUGCAAAAGUGAUAGAAAUUCCUCCACUAAUUUAUCCCUCUAUUGUUACUUUCCUGACAUUUUACCGUUUGUGCAUUAUUUUGCGUUCCCAAAGAAUUAAUUGAGGUAUACAAAACGUUAGACAUGCUGGUACCUCCUUUCUACUUUUGUACGGAUUUUUACAAAUAAACACAAAAACACAAAAGCGGUAAUUCAAUACUCAUCAAACGUUUGAAUCUUCAAAAUAUAUAUUGUACAUACAUGUAUGAAUUGACGUACAUGUAUUAUCUAUACUCAGGGCAAAUCAAUAAUUAUGUCUGUUGUUUCUUAUUGCUUAAAUUUGAACUUUGAUAUUCACAGGAAUGGGAGAUAUUCAUAAGUAUAUGAUAAGACGAAAUAACUCUAGUAUAGUUAAAAAUACGUUUAAUAAUGAAUUGGAAUAUAAGCAACAAUUUCAUAUAUCUAACAACCUAGAAGAGAUACUAGAACAUCUUCGAUACCUGUGUAAAAAAGAAAAACCACACGAGUAAGAUAAAACAUACAUACGUAUACACUAGUUUUUAACCUUCGACAGAAACACUGAAAGCCGAAUAUUUGAAACCCAAGGAUGUGAAAAUAUUCUCUUUCCGAAAAAGGAAUAACUCCUUUAGUAGGAAAUAAAAUAUGGGCUAUGUUGUCAGUCGCCGAUUCGUUCAUUGAUUAUCAACAUGCUCGAAGGAAGUUUUGCAAUGUUCAGGGUAAAUUGGAAAUCAAACUUAAAGUAGCCAUUUGUUGGCUGUUAAUUGCAAAAAAAAUAGUUAUUGUUAUUCAUUAAAAACAGGAAUCUAUGAUAAAACAUGUGAAACUACAUAUUUUUCUAUUGACCACUAUCUUUUUUGCAGAAAUUGUUUUAAAAAUUCGUUUUUUUUCCUUAAUGUAUGUUGAUAUGUGAUAUAUAACUCUGACCAUUAAUUUCUAACUUUUUGGUCUAUGAUUAAAAAUGUUUUUAUUAGAUAUAGGAAGAUGUGGUAUGAAUGUCAAAGAGACAACUUUCCAUCCAAAUUAAAUAACAAUUUAUAAAAGUAAACCAUAACAGUUCAAUGUACGACCUUCAACACGGAGCCUUGUAUUAGGUUCAUUUCUUUAAAGUGUUACCAAAUUGAGUAAGUAUAAAUAGUGCAGCAGCCUUCCAAUCUAAACAAAAAACAGAACACAUGUGCUUUAAAUGUUUGUUUGUUUGUACCAUGUGACUUUAAAUAUAACGAUCACCUUACCUGACAAAAAAAAAGACUUUUAGCAGGGAUGGGCACGAUUACUGACACAUGUAGUCUAUUAAUAAUCGAUUACAUGAAGGAUGUUUGUGCAAUCGAUUUAUAAUCGAUUCCUCACAUCUUUGUCAAAAGUAAUUACAUUUCUUUUCUAUUACUGUCAAAAACAUGCUUAAAAAACAAAAAAAAAAUAAAAUUAAACACAAUAAUGCUGCUCAACGUUUGUAUAUUGGAAAUUUAGAAGCAAUUCUUGGGAGUUUACACCAUUCAAGGGCUAUAAAUUAUAAUUUAUAGGUCUUCAUUAUUGUAACUUUCCAAAGUAAAAUGUUCUCAUUUAAAAAAAAUGCUUUUCUUAAGACUUUGCUUCCAAGAUGUUUAUUUUGUAAAUAAACAAAUAAUUAAAUGUAUAAAUGUAUAUAAAUUUUAUUCUGUUUUUGAUAAACCUAUUAAGAGCCUCUUUGCCUGGUUAUGAAACUCACCAUGAUAAAGAAUGAAGAGCUUGCUUAUAUAUGAGUUAUCGAAAUAGUUGAUUAAUCGAAGACAAAAAAACAUUAGUGAAUAUAUAAGUAAGUUAAUAUCAGAUCAAUAAUCAAAAUUUUAAAUUCAAGUGACGAUCCUUUUUAUUGGUGUCCUUUGAUAUUUGAAUAGGUAAAAUCACCUGGUAUAAAACACACACAUUCAAAGCACAUGUUUUUUUUGUUUUGUGUUGGUUGGAAGACUGUUACACUAUUCAUACUCACUCCAUCAGGUGUUCAAAAAAUGAAAACAAAUACCAGAGACCUUAUGAAACUCUUAUAUAAUUACAGACCACUUAUUCUGUAGCUAGUAGUUCGAGUUAGUAUCUUAACAUAAAAAUAUGGAUUUUUAAGAAUUUUUUAUAUGGGAGUCAAAUGGACAGUACUACAGUAUUCUACAUAAGUUAUUAGAAUACUUGUUAUUUGUGUUUCCCUAAGGUUUAGUUUGUAACCCAAAUUUGGUAUCUUUUAAUUAUGUAUGACUUUUGAACACCGGUAUACUACCUUUAUAUUUAUUUAUGAUAUAAUUUAGAUAUAUAUUUAUAACACAAUUGAUUCAGUUAAUUAAAAACUGAUUCUCAUAAUUGCGACUUCUGAUCUUUUUUUACUCUCUGUACAAGGGUUCUGCUAUCUGAACAAUAUGUAAUAUAUGUAUUACAUGAAAGAAUCCUAUGAAACAUCUUAAAACUAGACCGUUUUAAAAACGAAGUUCUGGUUUUCAUUAAAGUCAUUAAGUAAACCGGAUUUCAUUCUUCAAUGUGUAUAUUCAAAUAUAUUUCCAAUUUACUAAGGGUAGAUGAAGGUUAUACUAACUUUUCUUCGAAAAAUAAUUUAAUGAAAUAUUUACAGGAUCUUUCAUUUUAUUUACCUUUUUUUCAACAUUGUCCAAUUUACUUUACCUUCUAUCCUAUUUAUUCAUCUAUUUGGAAUUGCGUCUUCAAUACAACAACACUCUUAACAAUUGUAUUGUUAAAAUUGAAAAUGGAAAUGGGGAAUAUGCCAAAGAGACAACAACCCGACCAUAGAAAAAACUACAGCAGAAGGUCACCAACAGGUCUUCAAUGUAGCGAGAAUUCCCGCACCCGGAGGCGUCCUUCAGCUGGCCCCUAAACAAAUAUAUACUAGUUUAGUGAUAAUGAACGCCAUACUAAUUUCCAAAUUGUACACAAGAAACUAAAAUUAAAAUAAUACCAGACUAACAAAGGCCAGAGGCUCCUGACUUGGGACAGGCGCAAAAAUGCGGCGGGGUUAAACAUGUUUGUGAGAUCUCAACCCCCCCCUAUACCUCUAGCCAAUGUAGAAAAGUAAACGCAUAACAAUACGCACAUUAAAAUUCAGUUCAAGAGAAGUCCGAGUCUGAUGUCAGAAGAUGUAACCAAAGAAAAUAAACAAAAUGACAAUAAUACAUAAAUAACAACAGACUACUAGCAGUUAACUGACAUGCCAGCUCCAGACUUCAUUAGUAUACUUUUGAUUUUAUUCUCCAUAUGAGAAUAGUGUAAGAUUAUCUACAACCAGAUCAGUAAUAAAUAAUAUACAACUGUCAUAGACUUUAAACUGAAUACGUUGAUAUUUUUACCCGGAUACAAUGCCAAUUGUUAUUUAUGUAUUUUAUCCGCAAAAUAAAAAAAAAACUCUUGACUUAAGUUUAAAACUUUUUCAACAUUGUAACAUAGAACGUAGCAGUAAAGCGUUUAAAGGUGAAUAAAUGUUUGGAUCUAAUAAAAUUUAUAUCAAGGUCAUAUUACACUAUACUAAAACUAGAUAAUGUGUAGGAAUUUUAAGACCGGCAUCACAGUGUUUGGACCAUUAACACUGAAAGACUGAUCUCUUGAUUGUUGUCUGUCAAACCAUUUAGUCCAGCAAAUUCUAGAAAUUUAUCAAACAAAUGCUAAUAUUGAUUUAGGGACUUUUGCACACAAUUCAGAACUAAGAAAAUGUGAACAUUUGAAAUGUUACAACAAUUUAUAUUCAUAUUAUUAUAGAUUAACUUUAGAGACAGUUUUGACAAAAAGUGUGUUGUAAGCAUAAAAUCAACUUACGAAUGUUCAGAGAAUGCUGAAUUGUUUUAAAUGUCAAUUAUAAUUACAUACGUGAUCCAGUGACACAUAUCUUAAACUAGUUAUUGUGUAAACUUUCUAUAUAACUAUUGUUUACUUCUUUAAUCAAGUUUACACAAUGUUGUAUCUUAUGAUGUAUAAAUUUGAAAAUAACCAAAAUGGAGUAAUGUACAAUUGUUUUAAUGAUAACUUCAUUUAUUUUUGUUUAUUUACAGCAUUAAUAAAAGUUGUUCAUACCAUUCAAACACUUGUGAUUGUGUGUCUUGUUGCUGCUGUUGUUGUUGUUACUCUGAAAUUGUACGUCUUCACAGAAAGCCCAGAUAUCAUAUGGAUUGCCGUUGGAUGUAUAGUGGUCGCAG
rnacentral:lncRNA from 1 species